rnacentral:rRNA from 1 species
UAGGGAAUCUUCCACAAUGGGCGCAAGCCUGAUGGAGCAACACCGCGUGAGUGAAGAAGGGUUUCGGCUCGUAAAGCUCUGUUGUUGAAGAAGAACGUGCAUGAGAGUAACUGUUCAUGCAGUGACGGUAUUCAACCAGAAAGUCACGGCUAACUACGUGCCAGCAGCCGCGGUAAUACGUAGGUGGCAAGCGUUAUCCGGAUUUAUUGGGCGUAAAGAGAGUGCAGGCGGUUUCUUAAGUCUGAUGUGAAAGCCUUCGGCUCAACCGAAGAAGUGCAUCGGAAACUGGGAGACUUGAGUACAGAAGAGGGCAGUGGAACUCCACGUGUAGCGGUGGAAUGCGUAGAUAUAUGGAAGAACACCAGUGGCGAAGGCGGCUGCCUGGUCUGUAACUGACGCUGAGACUCGAAAGCAUGGGUAGCGAACAGGAUUAGAUACCCUGGUAGUCCAUGCCGUAAACGAUGAGUGCUAGGUGUUGGAGGGUUUCCGCCCUUCAGUGCCGGAGCUAACGCAUUAAGCACUCCGCCUGGGGAGUACGACCGCAAGGUUG